UACGUAGGGCGCAAGCGUUGUCCGGAAUUAUUGGGCGUAAAGAGCUCGUAGGUGGCCUGUCGCGUCGGCUGUGAAAACUCGGGGCUCAACUCCGAGCUUGCAGUCGAUACGGGCAGGCUAGAGUUCGGCAGGGGAGACUGGAAUUCCUGGUGUAGCGGUGGAAUGCGCAGAUAUCAGGAGGAACACCGAUGGCGAAGGCAGAUCUCUGGGCCGUAACUGACGCUGAGGAGCGAAAGCAUGGGGAGCGAACAGG
rnacentral:rRNA from 1 species